ACAAAUCAGCUGACAAGCCUAACAUGAAAUAAAAACGCCAAAACGGUCAUGCAUUUGUUUUGCAGACGAAGUCGAAGUCAAAGUUUCAGUAGAGAGAUCUCAAGCAAGGUGUGCAUUUCCCUGUGAUCUAUUUGCCUAUAAAUGUGAGUCUCUGGCAAGAAUGCAAAUUUUAGUGUUUAAUCGGAAUAAACAUCAUCAAGACUAUCAUAUAAAACACAAGUCAGGUUUCACUUAGUAUUCAUAUUGAAAAUGCCUUCCUGGUAUCCGGAAGGCGACGUUAGCCGAUGGCCUCAACUCAACUACACAAAAUGUUCAUGAACGAACCCCACGGCAUUUACUCCGCAAUCCAGCAGUGAUCAACUAGUGUGAACCCAGUUUUCAGUGUGUUCCAGCGUCACACACGGCAAGACACACGAACCGGAAGAGCAUCACUCGACAUUCGAAGAUGAAUUUCGAGAUGGCCGGAGCUGAGAGGAAGAUGACAACUUGGGCCGGCCUGGCUCUCAUGGGCGUCCGAUUCGGCGCUUUAGCCUGUCUCACUUGGGAGGAAUACAGCUGGGAUAUUAUGGAACCCAUCACGUACUUUGUGACUGUUAAGUCAUAAUCCAAUUAUUGAAGCCCUCAUCAGUUCCAGUUCUUUGCUGCCACUAUAUUGUGGACUGCGAGUGAAUGCUGCCACUCUAGAGGUUGCAGAGACCACCAAAACAAGUUCUCAUUUAAGACGAUCU